GAAACAACGUUCCAAAACCCCCAAAGGAGACGAAGAACUCCAGCUUAUAUUGGCUGGUCUGGGUAAAUGUUCUCUCUUAGUAACAGAGAGUUUAACACAUACAGAGCUGACAGAUUUGUUGCUUAAUGCAUUUCCAAGGCUUGCAAGCAUCAAUGGUGGCUGGUUGCUAUACAAGUCUACAGGUGGUGGUGGGCAGCGCAGAUUAGUUGUUAUUCCUCCUGAUUCUGAUGGUUAUAGUGGGCACCAACUGAAGACCGUGAGUGGAAAUGGAAAAUGUACACUGUACAUAACUCCUCUACAGGAACAAAUUGAAACUUCUCCAUUACCACCAGAUGCAAAAGAAUUUGAAAACAUGCCUAAAGCUCCAUGCACCACCUGCAACAACAUGGUACCACUCCAAGCUCUUCCGUUUCACAUCAAGAGCUGCAAAGAGGAAAUGAUUUAUCUCAGCAGCUCCCCUG